GCGGUGGUUGAAUUUUAGGGGAUGGAGUUUUGGGGCUUAAUGCUGGUGUAACCUUUGGGACUGGCAAUUUUGCAGGAGCAAGUUUUGGAGGAACUGGUGAUUUCACGGGAGCAGAUGUUGGAGGUUUUACUUUUGGUACUGGUGGUUUCACAGGUGCAGAUUUUGGAGCGGUAGCUUUUGGAACUGGUGGUUUCACAGGUGCAACUGUUGGAGUUGUAACUUUGGGUACAAGUGGUUUCACAGGUGCAGCUAUCGGAGUUGCAACUUUCGGAACCAGUGGUUUCACAGGUGCGGCUGUUGGAGUUGUAACUUUUGGAACUGGUGGUUUCACAGGAGCAGAUGUCGGAGUUGUUACUUUGGGAACUGGUGGUUUCACAGGAGAAGAUGUUGGAGUUGUAGCUUUUGGAACUGGUAACU
rnacentral:lncRNA from 1 species